UGAAAAUACCAAUUUUACAAACAGGUACAUCUUGUGUAGGUUUUUUAUUUGCUGAUGAUAAUCCCUGAUCGUUCUUCCACUUACAGGGUGCUCCAAACUAUCCCUCUGAAUGGAGGAUCCCAGCUAGAGCAAUACCUGCUCCUUCUUAAGGCCUUUUCUGUCACAGGCUGAGUCAGGCAUCCAGACAGCUUUUGCCGCUUUUAUGUAACCAGGCUGACAUCUGGAGAUCUAGGAACAAGCUAAGAAAGAAUUCUGGACAACGACAUCUCUUAACAACCUGCAAUAAGAAAAUGUUAAUACAGUUUAUAUAAGAGAAACAAAAUAAAAGUUACAGAUAUGUGGAAGGCAA